UACGAAGGGGGCUAGCGUUGCUCGGAAUCAUUGGGCGUAAAGGGCGCGUAGGCGGCGGGGUAAGUCUGGUGUGAAAUCUAGGAGCUCAACUCCUAAACUGCACUGGAUACUGCUCUGCUAGAGGACUGGAGAGGAGACUGGAAUUCACGGUGUAGCAGUGAAAUGCGUAGAUAUCGUGAGGAAGACCAGUGGCGAAGGCGGGUCUCUGGACAGUUCCUGACGCUGAGGCGCGAAGGCCAGGGGAGCAAACGGG
rnacentral:rRNA from 1 species